UAGGGAAUCUUCGGCAAUGGACGGAAGUCUGACCGAGCAACGCCGCGUGAGUGAAGAAGGUUUUCGGAUCGUAAAGCUCUGUUGUAAGAGAAGAACGAGUGUGAGAGUGGAAAGUUCACACUGUGACGGUAUCUUACCAGAAAGGGACGGCUAACUACGUGCCAGCAGCCGCGGUAAUACGUAGGUCCCGAGCGUUGUUCGGAUUUAUUGGGCGUAAAGCGGGCGCAGGCGGUUAGAUAAGUCUGAAGUUAAAGGCUGUGGCUUAACCAUAGUACGCUUUGGAAACUGUUUAACUUGAGUGCAAGAGGGGAGAGUGGAAUUCCAUGUGUAGCGGUGAAAUGCGUAGAUAUAUGGAGGAACACCGGUGGCGAAAGCGGCUCUCUGGCUUGUAACUGACGCUGAGGCUCGAAAGCGUGGGGAGCAAACAGGAUUAGAUACCCUGGUAGCCCACGCCGUAAACGAUGAGUGCUAGGUGUUAGACCCUUUCCGGGGUUUAGUGCCGCAGCUAACGCAUUAAGCACUCCGCCUGGGGAGUACGACCGCAAGGUUG
rnacentral:rRNA from 1 species